rnacentral:tRNA from 2 species
GGGGGAGUAGCUCAGCGGGAGAGCAUCUGAAUCGCACUCAGAAGGUCGGGGGUUCAAAUCCCCUCUCCUCCA